rnacentral:rRNA from 1 species
AGCGAACGCUGGCGGCAGGCUUAACACAUGCAAGUCGAGCGGACCUUUCGGGGUCAGCGGCGGACGGGUGAGUAACGCGUGGGAACGUGCCUUCCGGUUCGGAAUAACCCUGGGAAACUAGGGCUAAUACCGGAUACGCCCUUAUGGGGAAAGGUUUGCUGCCGGAAGAUCGGCCCGCGACUGAUUAGCUAGUUGGUGGGGUAACGGCCUACCAAGGCGACGAUCAGUAGCUGGUCUGAGAGGAUGAUCAGCCACACUGGGACUGAGACACGGCCCAGACUCCUACGGGAGGCAGCAGUGGGGAAUAUUGGACAAUGGGCGGAAGCCUGAUCCAGCCAUGCCGCGUGAGUGAUGAAGGCCUUAGGGUUGUAAAGCUCUUUUAUCCGGGACGAUAAUGACGGUACCGGAGGAAUAAGCCCCGGCUAACUUCGUG